CAGGGUUUCAAGAUCUUCGAUUUUUCAUAGUCUAAACAAAGAAAAACCUCUACAUUUUCACUUCCACUACUGCACUCGAACCCUAAGUUCUUCUUCAAGUCAAGUUAAAUUAAACCUUGUUGAUGGCUUUAGCUCGAGGUGCAAAAGGCUCUAUCGGAUUUCUAAUUAACCGUUUGCGUCCUGCUCCUACGCAGUCUGGGCAUAAUUAUUCUUCUUGGGCAGGUAGGAAUCGUCAACUUUCUGAAGUUAGAGAGCCCUCAUUUAAUUAUUUGAACGAUGGAAAUUCUCAAUGUGGUUUUGGGAGAAAAAUAUUGUCGCGAAGAUUUAGUGUUGAAGCAUCGGACCAAUUGAAACUUAUUAAGCAGUUGAGGGAAAGAACUAGUGCUCCAAUAAAAGAUGUCAAGACUUCUCUCGUCACUUGCGAUUGGGAUAUUGAGGCUGCUCAGAAGGACCUUAGGAAACGAGGAGUUAUCCAAGCAUCAAAGAAGUCGUCUCGAACUGCUGCUGAGGGUUUGCUUGCACUAGCACAGAAUGGGGAUAAAGCUGCUAUUAUUGAAUUGAAUUGCGAGACUGAUUUUGUUGCAAGGAAUGAAAUAUUUCAAUACUUGGCCUUGUCCCUAGCAAGAAUAGCAUUGUCUGUUGAGAAGUAUGCUGACCAAGCUUCUAGUGGCGUUCCUUUUGACCCUGAAUACUUGGAGCAAUUAAGGAUUAAUCUUGAUCAUCCAAAACUAAGUGGAGAGACAACAGUAAGAAGUGCAAUUACGGAAGUGGCUGCAAUAAUGGGGGAGAAUAUAAAACUCAGAAGGGGUUUUGCAGUUUCUAAAUCUACACAUGGCGUUGUCUCUACCUAUAUGCAUUCAAGUCCUCAACCAGGUUUAGGCCGUAUAUCUGGAAUUCUAACUCUGGAAGCAGAGAAUGAUAGUGUCUCACUGGAUGCUCUUCAACGAGUGGGUUCACAAUUGGCAAUGCACAUAGUGGCUGCAAAACCAGUGUUCCUAUCAAAGGAGCUUGUUCCUUCUGAAGCCUUGAAUGCUGAACUUGAAAUCAUCAAAUCUCAGGCGGAAAUUUCAGGGAGAACGAAGAUGGGCAAAGAAAAAAUGGUGGAAGGUCGUUUGCGGAAAUAUAUGGAAGAAGUAGCUUUUAUGGAGCAAAAGUUUGUUGUUGAUGAUAGUAAGACAAUCAAGAAUGUGAUGGAUGGUCUGUCAAAGGAAGUGGGAUCACAGGUGGAGAUAGGCAAAUUUUUCAGAAUGGAGGUUGGAGAAGGAAUUCAGAGACUGACACAUUGAUGAUCUUGUUGAAAGUGUCCGUGAAAAAAAACAGAGUUAGAAACAUCUGGGGAGUCUUAAGUCAUGAAUCGGGCGGCUUUGAUGGAGGUUGUGUAUUGUUACACGGAAGGUGUCAGAGUUGUGGUUCAGGCAGCUAAAAUUUAAGGAACCAUAUGAUGAGAAGCUAAUUAAACAGCUGAAAGUAAAUUUUGGAGAUUCUUUUCACGUAGUUGCCCAAGGAUUUUCUUAGAAAUAAAUAAUGUAAGGAGAAGAUAGAUGUUUAGUUAAAUGGAGAGAAGUCAAUCAAAGUUGAGUGCACCUGUUGAGGCAGCUUACAUUUUCAAGUUUAUAUAAUGUCCAACAUGUAUUGUCUUCAUUUAACGUUCUUCAAAGAAAACUGAAGUUUUGCAACUGCACCAUUUGAAAUUUGAUUUUCUGUAUCUUUAAUCUCUGGAUAUCGUUUUGUUAUGAGGUUCAAACUUCUUGUUACGUAAAUGUUUCGUAACCCAGAAAUA